rnacentral:rRNA from 1 species
GAGCGCAACCCUUGUCUUUAGUUGCCAUCAUUAAGUUGGGCACUCUAGAGAGACUGCCAGGGAUAACCUGGAGGAAGGUGGGGAUGACGUCAAAUCAUCAUGCCCCUUAUGCUUAGGGCUACACACGUGCUACAAUGGGUAGUACAGAGGGUUGCCAAGCCGUAAGGUGGAGCUAAUCCCUUAAAGCUACUCUCAGUUCGGAUUGUAGGCUGAAACUCGCCUACAUGAAGCUGGAGUUACUAGUAAUCGCAGAUCAGAAUGCUGCGGUGAAUGCGUUCCCGGGUCUUGUACACACCGCCCGUCACACCACGGGAGUUGGAGACGCCCGAAGCCGAUUAUCUAACCU